GCAAAAUGAAGACACAAGUUGGAGAAACACGACUGCAGCAAAAUGAAUACAAAGGGUUUGUUUCUUCUGCUGGUAGUAGCUAUACUGCUUUUCAUUUCCACAGGUUCGAAUGCAUCUCCGGCUCCGAAGCCUCAUUACUGGUGGAGAAAUCCCGCCUACGGACCACGUUACCCUUUCCAGUCACGGGGACAUCAUGAUGGCCCAGGACAACGCCUUUGCGGCUCAACUAGGGCAACAGUGACUUCAACAUCCGCUGAACCAGGGUCUUCGACAGUCGCAACCGUCGCAAUUACUGCUCCUACGGCCACUUCUCUCCCCCCUACUGUUUCAGUUUCUCCAUGAGGACGGUAAUUGGACCGAAAUGAGUUUCGCGUUAUGCCAUCACCACCUGAAGCUCUUCACCUACGCUGAGAAACAUUGACCUGAGAAGAGGCGAAACCCCGUUUCAACAACUACAGAGAUAUACAUUUCGAAAAUAUGUAGUACGUAUUACUUAAUAAAGGAGAAUACACUGUCAGUUAUGUAAUAAUAAAUCAUCCAGUUAUGCAUUACGUA